UUUUUUUUUUUUUUUUGAAAAAGUAAAAGAGAAAACUGUACAUAAAAACAUGUAAUAAUAAUAAUAUAUUGAAAAAGUUUUAAAAAAUAAAAAAAACGUUGUAUACUCUUGUUCUGUUGUCAUUAGACUAAAAUUUCUGUACCAAGUCUGAUAGUGUUUUGGUCUGUGUAAUUUAUUAUAUAAUUUUAGUACAUGAUAAUACGUAUUAUACAUGAUAUUAUGAAACAAAAG